AUGGGGUCUUCUUCUCCAUCCAUAGGUCUCCGGGCGGCCGUGACGCUGGUGGAGACCGGAGGUGACCUCCAGAGCCCUGGUGGGUCCCUGACGCUCGUCUGCAAGGCCUCGGGCUUCACCCUCAGCAGCUACAGCAUGGAAUGGGUGCGACAAGCACCAGGGCAGGGGCUCGAGUUCGUCGCAGAAAUUACCAGUAGUGGUGGUAGCACCUAAUGACACCAGUGGUGCUACCACCUACUACGCGCCAUCGGUGCAGGGUCGCUUCACCAUCUCCAGGGACACCUCCCAGAGCACGGUCACGCUGCAGAUGAGCAGCCUCACGACCGAGGACACGGCCACCUACUACUGCGUGAAGAGAGCUGGUGGUGGUUAUUAUGGUGCUGGUGCUGGUGCUUAUGGUGGCACCAACGUCACAAGAGGUUGCCCAAAACCUGGACUGCUUUUGUCUCAAGGAUCAACUGGUUUUGCCCCAAACCUCGGCCAUUGGCCCCAAACCUCACCCAUUGGCCCCAAAUCUCGGCCAUUGGCCCCACAUGGCCACAAUUCACCUCAGGGCUUGGCUCUUUGA